CAAAGAUAUAGGUUUUACAAAAACUGAAUUUGUGGCAAAGACUCAAUUCCUAAUUGUGACAAUGUUUAGAAUUCUUAUUAAUGGAAAUAGACUUUUGAAACAUGCAAAUUGUAUCAAAAAAAAAAAAACAAGUUCACCACCUUCCUUGAAAAAUUGUCCACAUUUACUAUUUAGUGAACAGGUUUUUACACCGAAAACGCAUGCUUUAUACAUUACGGUGGUUACUGGUUGGUUAUUUGUUACAAAUUUUUCAUGUUUAAAAGACAUCAAAUAAACUUUUUAAGGUAAAUUCUAGUGUUUUGCAUGAAAAGUAGGAAAGCACCCGCAGUUAGAAAAGUUAUUUGUAUCUAAAAAGUUUGAAUGCUUACAAUUUCUAAAACCUUGUAUACUAGCGUGAAAGUUAGUUAUAUUGUUCACUUUGUCCGCGGAACAACAUAUAACAACAGGUAGGUCUUGAUUGCAGCAUUAUUGAAUGAAUUAAGCAUGCAAUCGUUCAUUCAAGUAAUUAUCACUCCCUACACAUUAUGAACUGUUAUUAUUAUUGUCGAAUCAUUUCUCAUUUUCCUUUUGAAUCUUAAUCACAUGAGUAUAUUUUUAAUUGACAGUUAAUAAUAUUUGGUGAUUUUUUUAACAACAAUAAAUGUAGUUUUUGGUUUUUUUUAUAAAUCUCUUGGACUGUGCCAAACUUCUUUUUAAGGGACUGCAUGUACAUUCUCUUUAAAGUGACCAUUUUUCAAAGAAUCAAAUGCCCGAUUCUUAGCGUUCAUCAAAUGCCCGAUUCUGAGCGUUCAUCAAAUGCCGGAUUUUGAGCGUUCAUCAAAUGCCUGAUUCUGAGCGUUCAUCAAAUUCCCGAUUCUUAGCGUUCAUCAAAUGCCCGGUUCUUAGUGUUCAUCAAAUGCCUGAUUCUUAACAUUCAUCAAAUGCCUGAUUCUUAGCGUUCAUCAAAUGCCUGAUUCUUAGCAUUCAUCAAAUGCCCGAUUCUUAGCGUUCAUCAAAUGCCCGAUUCUUAGCGUUCAUCAAAUGCCCGAUUCUGAGCAUUCAUCAAAUGCCCGAUUUUGAGCGUUCAUCAAAUGCCCGAUUCUUGACGUUCAUCAAAUGCCAGAUUCUUAACGUUCAUCAAAUGCCCGAUUCUUAACUUUCCCUUGUUAGAUCUUUAAUUGAUUAACGAUUAAGAUAUCAUCGUUUUCUUUCUUUAAAAAGAUCAAUUCUGUCAAAAUCCUUGAUUGUCUUCACCGAAUAAAUACCGAAGUGCCUUCUACUGAGAAGCCGCAAAUGAAAAUUUAUCAGUUCAGAAAAUAUAUAUAUAUAUAUAUAUAUAUAUAUAUACAUAUAUAUAGGUGGAAAUGGUAUCGGUGUAUAUCGGGCGUGUAACUAUUUAAAUGGAUGGUAACAAAAAUUCUUUCUCAAACUUUUUUCGAGUUGUCUACAUACCCCCUCCCCCGUCGUAACAGGGUUAAGUAAAGUAUAAUAAAUCAUUAUUAAAAUGUCGCGACACAACGCCGCUUAAUCGCACUUUCUUGUCACGGUUUUGAUCUUUGUCCUAAAUAUUAUCCAAUAACAAUAUAAGUAUAAAGGGAUCCACCACAUGACUAGACAAGUUUUUUCUCGUCAUUUUCUCUAUUGCAGGGGUGGCUAUGUUUUUUAUAGAACCCCUCUUCCCCAAAUUAUAUUUUUCCCCUCUCUUCACACAUAAAUGUUUGAUGCUAUUAAUUUAGGUUUAACUCUUCCCCCCCNUCCAUUUCUAUUAUGGAUCCCUACUUUUCUGAGCUAUACAUGUUUGUUAAGCUGUUUUAAAGUUUUAGUAUUAAUAAAUCCACCAGCCUUAACAUCUCUCAUAACGUGACAUCAGUUGUUGUACAAUGCUAAAAUGGGUUUGGGGCCCUGUUAUCCUAGCAAUAAUUCAGUUGAACAGCGGACUAGCGAAGGAAUUAGAGGUUUUUGACGAACUUCACAUCGACGAAUCUACUCAUCAAAUUGUCGAUUCAAAAGGUUGUUUAAGAGUAUUUCAUGGAUUAAAUUUUGUAACUAAGAAAACGCCCUGGUAUCCGGAGAAGCUUCUGGAUGAAAAAUAUGCCCGAGAUAUGGGUGAAUGGGGAUUAAAUGUAGUGAGACUGGGAACCAUGUGGUCUGGAGUAGAACCUACUGAGGGAGUAUAUGAUGAAACCUACCUGGAUAAACUGGAGAUAAUUAUUGAGAACUUUGCCAAGCAUGGAGUCUGGGUCCUGCUAGAUGCUCAUCAGGAUGUUGCAUCUGAGGAAUUUGGAACUUAUGAUGGAUUUCCUAGCUGGCUUGUUGAUCAACUAAGGGAAGGAGUAGAAAGAAAAUUUCCUUGGCCUCUGGCAAAGGUAGAAAACUGGUUUUGUGGUUAUGUAACCUAUGAGGCUGGGGAGGUUUAUCAUAGAUUCUUCCAAAACCAUUAUAAUGCAGUUGAUAAAUUUGCAAAUUUCUGGAAACAUGUUGCAAACCGGUUGAAAAAGCAUAAGAAUAUAAUUGGAUAUGAUCUUCUUAAUGAACCUUGGCCUGGCAACAUAUAUAAGGACGGAAGUCUUUUAAUGCCAGCUGAGGCGGGCAGAAAGGUCUUAACACCUUUUUAUAAUAAGGUUAUAUCUUCUAUAAGGGAGGUAGAUCAGAAAACCUUGCUAUUUUGGGAACCUGUUUCCUGGUCACAUUUUGGUCCUCAGAUUAAGGUUCCUUUAGUAAACAACUUCGUAGCAAGAGUAUUCAACAGAUAUCCUACUUUAACAUGGCUUCAGGGUAUAUCCAGGGCUUGUGGUGCCUUAGAUUUAAGUAUAUCAGAUGAUGAUACUGAGUUUUGUCAUGGAUUAAAAAGAAGCGGAAGAACUAAUGGAAGGUCUGAGUUGACCGACUGUAUAUCUGGAGAGAACCUGACCUCUAGUUCAGUUGAAUCUAUAUUUGGGUCAGGAAUACAGGAGAGCUCAUUUGACCAGGAGAUUAAACACAAAUUGGUCAUGUCCUGGCAUUACUACUUUCCUUUGUUUGUUUACCAAAAAGAGAACUAUGAUUAUAUCACAACAAAGGUGGCAAGAGAUAUUUUUGGCCCAAUGGUUUUCAGCGGAGUGAAAAAUGAGAUAGAAGAGAUCGGUGGAGGUCAAUUCCUUUCAGAAUUUGGAUUAUGUAAACCUGAUUUGGAUAGGCCAGAUCAUUGCGGAACCCAGGAAUGUAACUAUGUAUUCUCUAAGGCAGAUGAGAACAGUAUAUCCUGGACAUAUUGGGAUACCAGUGAUGACGAAAUACUCUGGGAUUCUCAGGGGAAACCUAUUCAAAAUAUUGUAAAAGGUAUGAGUAGACCCUAUCCUAGGCAGCUAGCUGGAACUAAUGUCAAGUUUAGUUUUGAUGUGGAGAAGAAGACGUUUGAUAUAAAAUUUGUAGCAUUUAAAGAUGGUGUAUCUGAACUGUAUAUACCUGAUCGAAUGGGUGACAAUCCUUCUAUCCUGGCUUCAGAGGAUCUUGAAUAUGAAUUUAUAAAGGACAAAAACUCUCUAAUAAUAAGCAGGUUGGUGAAAUUAAAGAUGCAAUAGAGAAGCAAAUCUACCGAAUAGAGAAGAUCGAAGAAAACCUGGAUAAGCUCAAACUGACAGAUGACGAAAGAGAAAAACUGGAAGACGAGUUGAACGAUUUAAAGUAUUUCCUGGUUAUUCUAGAGGAACGAUCUGCGGAACUCUGUGGUCCACGAAAAAUGAAGUUUUCACUUAAGAAUACAACUGUUUCUGUCUUGACCCUCUCUAGUACUGCUCUUCUCAUCAGCUACCUGUUCUUCUAAAGGAAUAUUGGAAACCUUUUUCUUUAAAAGGAAUAUUUGUUUUUAGAACCUCUUCUUAUAAAGGAAUAUUUUUCUUAAGAAACCUGUUCUUCUGAAGGAAUAUUGGUCUAAAGAAACCUUGACUUCUAAAGACAUUGGUCGUUAGAAACCUAUUCUUCUAAAGACGUAUUGGUUUUUAGAAACCUGUUCUUCUGAAGACAUAUUGGUCUUUAGAAACCUGUUCUUCUGAAGACGUAUUGGACUUUAGAAACCUUUUCUUCUGAACGAAUAUUGGUUUUUAGAAACCUGUUUUUCUGAAGGAAUAUUGGUUUUUAUAAACCUGUUCAUCUGAAGGAAUAUUGGGUUUUAGAAACCUGUUCUUCUAAAGACGUAUUGGUUUUAGAAACCUGUUCUUAUGAAAACGUAUAGGUAACAUGUUUUACACUGUUUUUCAAAUAAAACAAUUGCCAAACA
rnacentral:misc_RNA from 1 species